rnacentral:rRNA from 1 species
UUAUACCGCGAAACUGCGAAUGGCUCAUUAAAUCAGUUAUCGUUUAUUUGAUAGUACCUCUUACUUGGGUAACCGUGGUAAUUCUAGAGCUAAUACAUGCUAAAAGCCCCGACCUCGGUCGGGGUGUAUUUAUUAGAUAAAAAACCAACGCCCUCCGGGGCUGCUUGGUGAUUCAUGAUAACUAAACGGAUCGCAUGGCCUUGCGCCGGCGACGGUUCAUUCAAAUUUCUGCCCUAUCAACUUUCGAUGGUAAGGUCUUGGCUUACCAUGGUUUCAACGGGUAACGGGGAAUUAGGGUUCGAUUCCGGAGAGGGAGCCUGAGAAACGGCUACCACAUCCAAGGAAGGCAGCAGGCGCGCAAAUUACCCAAUCCCAACAGCUGGGGAGGUAGUAACAAUAAAUACUGAUACAGGGCUCUUUUGGGUCUUGUAAUCGGAAUGAGUACAAUUUAAACCCCUUAACGAGGAACAAUUGGAGGGCAAGUCUGGUGCCAGCAGCCGCGGUAAUUCCAGCUCCAAUAGCGUAUAUUAAAGUUGUUGCAGUUAAAAAGCUCGUAGUUGAACCUUGGGCCUGGCUGGCCGGUCCGCCUCACCGCGUGCACUGGUCCGGCCGGGCCUUUCCUUCUGGAGAGCCGCAUGCCCUUUAUUGGGCGUGUUGGGGAACCAGGACUUUUACUUUGAAAAAAUUAGAGUGUUCAAAGCAGGCCUUUGCUCGAAUACAUUAGCAUGGAAUAAUGGAAUAGGACGCGCGGUCCUAUUUUGUUGGUUUCUAGGACCGCCGUAAUGAUUAAUAGGGAUAGUCGGGGGCAUCAGUAUUCAAUUGUCAGAGGUGAAAUUCUUGGAUUUAUUGAAGACUAACUACUGCGAAAGCAUUUGCCAAGGAUGUUUUCAUUAAUCAGUGAACGAAAGUUAGGGGAUCGAAGACGAUCAGAUACCGUCGUAGUCUUAACCGUAAACUAUGCCGACUAGGGAUCGGGCGAUGUUUCUAUCUUGACUCGCUCGGCACCUUACGAGAAAUCAAAGU